CCCCUCCCAUCAGGCAGCCACAAGUCUGUUUUGAGGACAACCAUCCCCAAUAGAGGAGGACCGUUCUUCGGUCAAGGGUAUAUGAGUAGUUGUGCUCCCCUGCUAGAACCUGCAAACAAGCUCUCAAGGUCCACUUAUUCUUCUUUUUCUAGUUCUUUUAGGUGGUGAUAAGGUAGGUUGUU
rnacentral:sRNA from 1 species